GCCCUUGCGCCGAGCCGGAUGGGCCCUUACAUGUGAAGUGUCUCGCAAGGGACUAUGGACAUAAACGCGCUCGUAAUAAGCGGAUCGGACCCGGGGGCGGUACCCGGCGGCUCCACCAAUCAUCCUUCAUUUGGGGAUCAUGGGGCCGAAACAGGAUCGACGAACGUCUAAAGGGGUUAGCUUUGUCUCGGUGAGCCACCACCGUUAUCGGUGCAAAACGUACAGUUGCAAAUGACAACCGUGCUCCGGUCGCAGUCGCAGCGUAAGCUGUCACAAGACCGAAACUUAAGCCCUUGCGCCUAGCAGCGUAAGGCGGGGUUCGCAGGCACCUGGCAACAGAAGCCUGCAUU
rnacentral:tmRNA from 1 species